rnacentral:rRNA from 1 species
UACGAAGGGGGCUAGCGUUGUUCGGAAUUACUGGGCGUAAAGCGCACGUAGGCGGAUAUUUAAGUCAGGGGUGAAAUCCCGGGGCUCAACCCCGGAACGGCCUUUGAUACUGGGUAUCUUGAGUGUGGUAGAGGUGAGUGGAAUUGCGAGUGUAGAGGUGAAAUUCGUAGAUAUUCGCAGGAACACCAGUGGCGAAGGCGGCUCACUGGACCACAACUGACGCUGAGGUGCGAAAGCGUGGGGAGCAAACAGG